rnacentral:rRNA from 1 species
AACGAACGCUGGCGGCAGGCCUAACACAUGCAAGUCGAGCGAGGACUUCGGUCCUAGCGGCGGACGGGUGAGUAACGCGUGGGAACGUGCCCUUUGCUUCGGAAUAGCCCUGGGAAACUGGGAGUAAUACCGGAUGAGCCCUUUGGGGGAAAGAUUUAUCGGCGAAGGAUCGGCCCGCGUUGGAUUAGGUAGUUGGUGGGGUAAUGGCCUACCAAGCCGACGAUCCAUAGCUGGUUUGAGAGGAUGAUCAGCCACACUGGGACUGAGACACGGCCCAGACUCCUACGGGAGGCAGCAGUGGGGAAUCUUAGACAAUGGGGGAAACCCUGAUCUAGCCAUGCCGCGUGAGCGAUGAAGGCCUUAUGGUUGUAAAGCUCUUUCAGCUGGGAAGAUAAUGACGGUACCAGCAGAAGAAGCCCCGGCUAACUCCGUG